AAAGAUUAAGCCAUGCAUGUCUAAGUAUAAACGAUCUAAUCGUGAAACCGCGAAUGGCUCAUUAUAACAGCUAUAAUUUACUUGAUCUUGACACUAUCCUACUUGGAUAACUGUGGUAAUUCUAGAGCUAAUACAUGCAUUAAAGCUCUGACCUCACGGGAAGAGUGCACUUAUUAGAACAAAACCAAGCGGCUUCGGCUGUUUUCGGUUGACUCAUAGUAACUGAGCUGAUCGCACGGUCUUGCACCGGCGACGUGUCUUUCAAGUAUCUGCCGUAUCAACUUUCGAUGGUAGUGUAUCUGACUACCAUGGUGAUCACGCGUAACGGAGAAUAAGGGUUCGGCCCCGGAGAGUUCGCCUGAGAAAUCGCGAACACAUCUAAGGAAGGCAGCAGGCGCGAAAAUUACCCACUCUCAGCACGAGGAGGUAGUGACGAAAAAUAACGAGACCGUUCUCUUAUGAGGCCGGUCAUCGGAAUGGGUACAAUUUAAACCCUUUAACGAGUAUCUAUGAGAGGGCAAGUCUGGUGCCAGCAGCCGCGGUAAUUCCAGCUCUCAAAGUGCAUAGAAUUAUUGCUGCGGUUAAAAAGCUCGUAGUUGGAUCUGUGCCAUAGGACGUGGUCCACCUUCUGGGUGCGUACUAUGUUCCUAGGCUUUUUGCUGGUUUUCCCGUCGUAGCCUUCAUUGGUUGCGGCGGGUGGCUGGCGAGUUUACUUUGAGAAAAUCAGAGUGCUCAACACAGGCGUAUCGCUUGAAUGAUUGUGCAUGGAAUAAUAGAAAAGGAUUUCGGUCCUCUUUUAUUGGUUUUGUGGACUGAGAUAAUGGUUAACAGGGACCAACGGGGGCAUUCGUAUCGCUGCGUGAGAGGUGAAAUUCUUGGACCGUAGCGAGACGCCCUACUGCGAAAGCAUUUGCCAAGAAUG
rnacentral:rRNA from 1 species